rnacentral:rRNA from 1 species
AGCAGCCGCGGUAAUUCCAGCUCCAAUAGCGUAUAUUAAAGUUGUUGCGGUUAAAAAGCUCGUAGUUGAAUUUCGGGGUUAGUAGGUUGGUCAUGCCUCUGGUAUGUACUGGUCUCACUGAUUCCUCCUUCCUGACGAACCUUAAUGCCAUUAAUUUGGUGUUUUGGGAAAUUUGGACUGUUACUUUGAAAAAAUUAGAGUGUUUAAAGCAAGCUAACGCUUGAAUACAUUAGCAUGGAAUAAUGAAAUAGGACGUUCGAUCCUAUUUUGUUGGUUUCUAGGAUUGACGUAAUGAUUAAUAGGGAUAGUUGGGGGCAUUAGUAUUCAAUUGUCAGAGGUGAAAUUCUUGGAUUUAUUGAAGACUAACUACUGCGAAAGCAUUUGCCAAGGAUGUUUUCAUUAAUCAAGAACGAAAGUUAGGGGAUCGAAGACGAUCAGAUACCGUCGUAGUCUUAACCAUAAACUAUGCCGACUAGGGAUCGGAUGAUGUUAAUUUUUUAAUGACUCA